CUGUCAUUUAUAAAUGUGAAGUUGUAUAUUUGUGAUCUCUCUCGUGUAAUGCAGCAAAAUAGUUGUAUCAGUGUAUAAAUAAUUUUAAAAAAUCCCAACUCAAAAUAUAAUAAGAAUAGUCUGUACUAAAACAUUUGGCACCAUGUUGCACAUUUUAAUGGCUUUUAGUAAAUUAACUGCACAGGCAAAGGUUGGGUCCAGUUUCAAGUCAUUACAUAGCUACAAUCUGUUGAUAUCAGCUGACCCAUAUGAGCAGCCAGAAACUGAAGAGUUCUAUAUUGAAGGAAAUAAAGUGGAAAUUUCUGACGCUGAUGAUGUGUAUGAACCAGUAAAGGUGAAGAAAGAGGUACAUGUUUACAGUCCUGUCUGUCCAUUGAGCAAGCAAUGAAAGAGGCCAAGAAAGAAUUUGAAGAAGGAAUUAAAGUUCAGAGAGAAGAAAUUAAAUCUUUGAGGUUUGCCGAUGACUGGAAUUCUGCCAGAGAUGACAAAGGACUUGGAAGAGCAAGAGAGUGGAAUGGACGCUGUCUUGAAAAGAUAAUAUAAGAUAAACAUCAACAAAAGUGAAACAAAGAUCAGAGCUAUGAGACAGGGAAAGUAGUGUCUUUGAAGAUCACACUGCGAAAAAGGAUAGCCGAUGAUUUGUUGCUGAUGAAUACAGAAUCGUGGUUGACGAAGCUUACAAAAAAUUGCAAAGGCAUCAAAACCUUUGCCAAAGUGCAAGGCAAAACAGUUGUGGAAGAAGAGUGGAAGUGCAGGCAACUCUUCAUCCACAUCGUUUGCAUUUGAUGCCAUUGGUUUCGUUCUGUCCCAACAUGUGCCUGAAGCAGGAACUGAUAAUGUAAACACGAGUUCAGAGGCCCAGUUACAGACUGACACUAUGGUCAUGUUGCAGGGUGUCAUAUACCCAGACAGAAGUGAAGGGUUCUAGAAGAAACCACAGAAGAAACAUGAAAUAUCGUCAUAUAAACAGACAAAAGCAAGAAAUUCGAAUGGAGUGGAAACAGUUAACACCACCUUUACAAAUUGAUAUGGUACAAUAACUGCAUUAGAGCUGAAGUGGAAUUUAAAAUCAGUAAUUAUUUCUAUGAAGUAAAUCCAGCAAUGCUAAGCAGUGCAAGUGGUUCUCCUUUUGGUUCCAGUAAAACUGCAUUAGAAAUAGUGGAUUGUGCAAGUUCUCAUGACAGUGAUGGACAGGCAUUUGCAGAGAUUGUAUUAAUGCUACUGUCAUACUGGAAGAUUAUCUGCGGCAGUGAUGAACAUUUCAACAUACAAGUUUUGCUGUCUUUUUCAUCAACUGUGUGCAAUGUGCUCUUAAACAAAAAUAAAGCAUAAACAAUAA